rnacentral:tRNA from 1 species
GCGGGUAUGGUUCAGGGGUAGAACACGUCUUUGCCAAAGACGAGACCAGGGUCCGAGUCCCUGUACCCGCA